AAAACUUUGAAUAUAUCAUCUCACUCUUUCCUGGCCCACAAGGUUUUUGCUGAGAAGUCUCCUGAUAUCCUUAUGGGUCUGGAAAUAACUGGGAAAGAAAAGCCUUGUUUCAGAACAUUCUCCAGUUCUUGAGGCUGGGAAGUCCAAGAUCAAGAUACUGGAAGUUCUAGUAUCUGGGAAAACAUGCUGCUUCUUCAAAGACUCCAAUUUCAGAUGGCAAAAUGCAUGGAAGCUGAGAUGGACCUUCUGGAGUUUUCGAUAAACCACUGUAGCUCAGUCAGAGGUUCAAUUAUGAUGAUACCCACACAAG
rnacentral:lncRNA from 1 species